rnacentral:tRNA from 1 species
GAGGUUGUGGCUCAGCGGUAGAGCGCUCGCCUAGCAUGUAUGAGGUCCUGGGAUCGAUCGUCAGCACCACA